CCUCUUCCCAUUCCGAACAGAGAAGUUAAGUCCGACUGCGCAGAUGGUACUGCAGUAAUGUGGGAGAGUAUGUCGCCGCCUUUU
rnacentral:rRNA from 1 species